CCCUAUUGGAUAUUUCUCCAUUAACCUCCAGUCUCUCUCCUUUCUCUCCGACUCUCCUUUCUCUCCCCUCCCACCUCUUCACACAUGCACACGCCCCAGACUCCUUCCCACUCAUUUCCCUCACGCGCCCUUACUAUCCACUUUCACUGGAGACCAACUGCAAUCCGCUUAGGGUUUUUUUUCUCCUCUUCCUUUUACUUUUCUUUCCGCAUGCCGUUAUUUCCCUUCAGUUAUCCCUUCAUGUACGGAGACACCCCCCUCUCGAACGCCGCACUCUUACUAUGUGUGGCGCCCCUGAAAAAAAAUGUAGGCCGUGGAUUGUCCCCGCAUUAGACUGCAUGCCACAAACCGCUUGUCGUAUCCUGUCAACAUUUUUUAUUUUUUUGCUUCUCUUCUGCAGUAUUUUUUUUUGUUGUUGUUUGGAAAUCGCUUUCUGUGCAGUAAUCUUUUUCUAAAGUCGUGUGUGCAUUGAAAAGCGGAAGCUGGGAGUUGAAGAAAGGAAAAUCGAGUGUGUGGACAUGUGAAGAAGAUAGAGGCAAAAAAAGAAAGAAAGAAUGAGGGGGAAAUGGAGAGCAUGGUCUGCAGUAGAAAGCAUGAAGGACAGGGAAAGAGAGAAAGAGUAUCAGUACUGGCAAGAAAAUCAGGAGGAGGAAGAGAGGAACGAGAGGACCGUAAAGGGGGGGAUUGACUCAGGAAGGAGGGACGGCCGGAUAGGAAUUGGUAAAAUAAAAAAAAAAUAAAGAUGGGAAAAAAACUCCUGUAUUAGAAGAAACUGGACGUUUCCUCAGACUCAGACUUUUACUCUCUGGUUUUUUCGUCAUCAUUUCCCCGAUCUUUCCUCUCAUUCAUUCGUAAGUAUGCAGCAUGUACCUGUCCUUUUCCUCUCCAUUCUUAAAUACUUUAUCCCUUCUCACUCUCCUGUUUUUUGUCGUCGUUUGUUAAAAAUAAGCCUGUAAGUUGCCUCUCCCCCUCCAUCAGUCCAUCUAUCCCUCGCUCUUUUCCCUCCUUCAGCUCACUUUGUAUCUUGAGUCUUCGUUCGUUCUCUCCCCUCCAAACACACACACCUCUGUUCACAUUCAGCAGAGCACUAUGUUCUCCGAAUACACCGGGUUUCAGAGGGGCCCAUGAAUGGGAGGCUAGCUCGCGGAGGAUUCAGGGUUGAAUUUAAGAUGACGUGGACUCUUGGCAUGCUUUAUAUAAGACUGAAUUUAAGAUGACCUGGACUCUUGGACAUGUUUUAUACAAGAAAUGCCAUGUCCAACAAUAGAUGCCUUCCCAGUGAGAAGAGGGGUGAAAGUUGCUUCCUGCUUUAAAGGAUGGGGUCCGGUCCAGGUUCUGCAGAGCGUCUAUGACAAACGGCAACCCAGCUUCUGUGACAUUCUUCCUGCUGACCCUGACAUUACCUCAUUCUCCUCCCCCUUAUCCAGCCACCAUGUGCAACAUAAUCUGUGUGCCUCUUGUUGUUUGCCGUCUUUUUUCUGGCCUUCUCGUCUCGGCCGACAUGAUUCCUCGGUGAAGACGGGAAGGACAAACGUGGGAUAAGCUCAGCUAAAAUUACAAACUGUGUGAAGAGAGAUUCAGAUUGUGGACGUUUAUGACGGCAUGCUGAAUUCAUCCAGUCAUUUUAGAUUAAUAAAGUUUCAAAAACAAGCCUGCUGUUGUCAUCUAAUAUCAAUGUUGAAAUGUCAGUAUUGUGCAGUAUAUUUAAUCUUCUUUUCUGUUUUUAUAUGUAUUUUGUAUUCUUUGUGUGAGUCUAUUUGCAGCCAGUAAAUAUAUGUAUAUUCUAUUAAACCACAAACUAUUAUAAUUCAUAUUAUUUUAUGAGACAAGUUACACUAGAAUAAUUUCAGUCAGGUUCUUUAAAUUUGGCCCCACUUUUAGUCUUCUGAAAUCUAUUAAAUGUUUCAUUAUAUCUUUAUUUCAGUUGUAUUAUGAACAUAAACUUACAUCGUUUUAUUAUUAUUUUUGAGAAGAUCUGUAUUUAUGUAACCUUAAUCUAAAUCAUACAAAUGCUCCACUUUUUAAGCCUUCCAACAGCGUAAGAUGUUAAAAGUUGAAACGGUGAAACAGUGAAUUGAAUUAGGGAAUUAAAACAGAGAUGAACAGAGGAGCAGCAAAAGCAAAUGAGGUGGAUUAGCCACCAGAUCAUACUGCUGUGGAAUAUUGCUGAACUGUUAGCAUGUUCUAAUACGGUCAUACAGCAGCCGACUUCAGUCAGAGGCUUCUUCAGGUUAACUGCAAGACUGACUGCUGCUGGAGAUCCGUCCUGCCUGCAGCAUCACCAUCAACUCUUUGGAAGUAUGUUUGGUGUCAAUAAAGUGUUUUUGAAAUUGAA